GUACACUCCUGCGGGAGGCAGCAGUGGGGAAUUUUGGACAAUGGGCGAAAGCCUGAUACAGCAAUGCCGCGUGAGUGAAGAAGGCCUUCGGGUUGUAAAGCUCUUUUGUCAGGGAAGAAACGGUGAAAGCUAAUAUCUUUUGCUAAUGACGGUACCUGAAGAAUAAGCACCGGCUAACUACGUGCCAGCAGCCGCGGUAAUACGUAGGGUGCAAGCGUUAAUCGGAAUUACUGGGCGUAAAGCGUGCGCAGGCGGUUUUGUAAGUCUGAUGUGAAAUCCCCGGGCUCAACCUGGGAAUUGCAUUGGAGACUGCAAGGCUAGAAUCUGGCAGAGGGGGGUAGAAUUCCACGUGUAGCAGUGAAAUGCGUAGAUAUGUGGAGGAACACCGAUGGCGAAGGCAGCCCCCUGGGUCAAGAUUGACGCUCAUGCACGAAAGCGUGGGGAGCAAACAGGAUUAGAAACCCGUGUAGUCCCAUGA
rnacentral:rRNA from 1 species